UUAUAUAAUUAUUUUGCUGUGCAGUUUUUUGUGAUUCUUUAUUUUCUUCAAGAUUUAUUAUAAGUAUAUGUAUCUAAAGUUUCACCAUUAAUUUCUUGUUGUAUAUUUAGAAUCUUGUCUGCUACUUCUUCUUUUUCUUCUUCUUCUUCAAAAGAUUAUUCUUCUUCCGAAUCAUAGGCAGCAGCUUACAAAGGGAAAAAGUGAAGAGAGAAGGUUGAAGGGAAUAUAUUACAAGUGGUAGGGGGAGAGAGAGAGAGGGUUUAGAAAUUCUUCGAUGUUUGCAAUGUCCAAGGUUUUAUGUUACUAUGGAGGUCAAGAAAACUCAUGGUCCUGUCUCAAACUAGCACGAUCUCGCUCCAACUCCCAUAUCACCUCCCCUUUCGUUUUCCACCUUGGCCUUUGUUUUUUCUCCUCCUUCUUCACAUAGCAUCUACCCAUUUUUCAAGUCAUGGUUGAAGGAGAAAAUGAGCUGCAUGAAAUUCACACCAUUGGAUGACCAAAAGAAUGAUCCCAAGGUUAAUUUUACAAGUUCAAAUCUUAUCUAAAGCCUGGGGUGAAGCAGUCAUUUUCUAAUUUCUUCAUUUCUUUCCCGAUUACUUUUCUACCCUGCCAACACAUUAAAAUCCUUCUCUCCUCAUAUUUUAACAGCUUGCUUUUCAUUUCCAUAGAAUUUCCAGAUUUAUUUUCUCCCAUUUAUUAAUCCCAUUAGCCAUUAUUUUUAGCCUAUUCUUCCACUUAUUAAGUCAACAUUUGUCUAUAAUUUUCACUGACAUUCAUGUGCAUUCCACUCUCCAUUAGUCUCACAAUUUCUCACAUGCACAAACAUGUCUCAGCCAAUAUUAAAAGUGCAUUUUUUGAUUAAAUAGCAUUAGAGAAUCAAAUUGUAUGCAUACUCUCUCUACCUCAUGAAUGUUAAAAAUUAUGCCCUAGGGCCAAUCAUUGUACCAUAAACCUUGUUAUUUAAUGAAUUUCUAUUUUGUUAUCAUAUUAAUUUCAUGUUCACUAUAAUAAUUGUAUCUUUGGAUGAAUUAUAGUGAUUCUCCUAAAUGCCCUUUAUCGGUCAUUUGUGAGGGAUCAUAGAUGAAACAUGACUAGUGUGACUUUGAUUAAUUAUAGAGAUAUAAAUCAAAGUUGUAGGAAAUUAAAAGGAUACAAGGUGCUGGACCAACCCGCUAUGAGAAAGUUGCAUGGUACAAGUCAUAAGCUUAUCUCAUAUGUAACAAUGUCAUUAAGCCCUUUGAUAUGAUAUCAUCAUGAAUUCCUAUGUGAUGACUACUGUACUUUAACCUAGUUAAAAGUCACCUUUAACUAGGUGAUCAUAAAGGCUAUAAUUGAAUUUAGUGAUAGUUCAAGAUGGAAUUUGUCCCUCACAUUAACUGAGAGAUAUUAUUGGGUCCUCGAUGAGUAAGAUUAAGAAAAUGUAUGGCCAUACUAUAAUGGAAAGAGUUUUUCUAUUAUUAUAGUCAUUCCACUCAAAGAUCAAGAAAGUAAUAGUCAGGUAAAGGAGGAUGACAAUUUCAUGUCUCACAGUUGACCGAAAUAUUGUGUGACAAAAAUGAUGUGAUACGGUUAUAUGAUAGAUUACAUCAAAUUAUUGAUCCCUAUAUAAAUUAGGUAGUCGCAAUGUUUUGCUAGAGGUCACUUGUGACUUAUGGGCUAGUUGCAUUAUUGGCCUAUUGCCAACUUCAUAUAGGCCUACAGGGUUGCACACAAGAACAUCUCAACUCGAGCUAUAAUGUU